GACGAACCGUGCGAACGUUGUUCGGAAUCACUGGGCAUAAAGGGCGCGUAGGCGGCUCGCGAGGUCGGGGGUGAAAUCCCACAGCUUAACUGUGGAAGUGCCUUCGAUACCGGCGAGCUCGAGGGAGGUAGGGGUGCGCGGAACUUCUGGUGGAGCGGUGAAAUGCGUUGAUAUCAGAAGGAACGCCGGCGGCGAAAGCGGCGCACUGGAUCUCUACUGACGCUGAGGCGCGAAAGCCAGGGGAGCAAACGGG
rnacentral:rRNA from 1 species